UUUAUGCUGAAUGUGAAACUUCAGCUUUUUACUCUAAUUGCAACGCAACCAACCUUCCAACAGCUGAGAACAGUUGAACAACUUGGGUACAUUACUCACCUCACACGGAGGAAUGAUUAUGGUAUUCGUGGAUUACAAUUUAUCGUUCAAUCGACAGUAAAGNAUAUUGAUUUGAGAGUCGAGGCAUUCCUCAGGUUGUUUGAAAAUAAAAUUUAUGAGAUGACUGAUGUGGAGUUCAAGAGCAAUGUUAAGGCAUUGAUUGAUAUGAAACUUGAGAAGCACAAGAAUUUGUGGGAAGAAUCUGGAUUUUAUUGGCAUGAGAUUGUUUUUGGGACUCUCAAGUUUGACCGCAAAGAAUGCGAGGUUGCAGCACUAGAGCAGCUUACAAAACAAGAAUUUAUUGAUUUU
rnacentral:misc_RNA from 1 species